AUUGAACGCUGGCGGCAUGCCUUACACAUGCAAGUCGAACGGUAACGGGCCUUCGGGUGCCGACGAGUGGCGGACGGGUGCGUAAUACAUCGGAACGUGCCCGAUCGUGGGGGAUAACGAGGCGAAAGCUUUGCUAAUACCGCAUACGAUCUACGGAUGAAAGCCGGGGACCGCAAGGCCUUGCGCGGGCGGAGCGGCCGAUGGCAGAUUAGGUAGUUGGUGGGGUAAAAGCUUACCAAGCCGACGAUCUGUAGCUGGUCUGAGAGGAUGAUCAGCCACACUGGGACUGAGACACGGCCCAGACUCCUACGGGAGGCAGCAGUGGGGAAUUUUGGACAAUGGGCGCAAGCCUGAUCCAGCCAUGCCGCGUGCAGGAUGAAGGCCUUCGGGUUGUAAACUGCUUUUGUACGGAACGAAAAGCCUUCUUUUAAUACAGGAGGGUCAUGACGGUACCGUAAGAAUAAGCACCGGCUAACUACGUG
rnacentral:rRNA from 1 species